GACGAACGCUGGCGGCGUGCCUAAUACAUGCAAGUCGAGCGGACGAAUCGAAAGCUUGCUUUUGAUUCGUUAGCGGCGGACGGGUGAGUAACACGUGGGCAACCUGCCCUGUAGACGGGGAUAACACCGAGAAAUCGGUGCUAAUACCGGAUAACACGAAAUGUCGCAUGACGUUUCGUUGAAAGACGGCGCAAGCUGUCGCUACAGGAUGGGCCCGCGGCGCAUUAGCUAGUUGGUGAGGUAACGGCUCACCAAGGCGACGAUGCGUAGCCGACCUGAGAGGGUGAUCGGCCACACUGGGACUGAGACACGGCCCAGACUCCUACGGGAGGCAGCAGUAGGGAAUCUUCCGCAAUGGACGAAAGUCUGACGGAGCAACGCCGCGUGAGCGAAGAAGGCCUUCGGGUCGUAAAGCUCUGUUGUUAGGGAAGAACAAGUAACGCAGUAACUGGCGUUACCGUGACGGUACCUAACGAGAGAGCCACGGCUAACUACGUG
rnacentral:rRNA from 1 species